rnacentral:tRNA from 1 species
ACCUGGGUGGCUCAGUAGGUUGAGUGUCUGACUUCAGCUCAGGUCAUGAUCUCACAGUUUGUGAGUUCGAGCCCCACGUCGGGCU